rnacentral:rRNA from 1 species
CGGGUGAGUAACGCGUGAGGAACCUGCCUCAAAGAGGGGGACAACAGUUGGAAACGACUGCUAAUACCGCAUAAGCCCACAGCUCGGCAUCGAGCAGAGGGAAAAGGAGCAAUCCGCUUUGAGAUGGCCUCGCGUCCGAUUAGCUAGUUGGUGAGGUAACGGCCCACCAAGGCGACGAUCGGUAGCCGGACUGAGAGGUUGAACGGCCACAUUGGGACUGAGACACGGCCCAGACUCCUACGGGAGGCGGCAGUGGGGAAUAUUGCACAAUGGGGGAAACCCUGAUGCAGCGACGCCGCGUGGAGGAAGAAGGUCUUCGGAUUGUAAACUCCUGUUGUUGAGGAAGAUAAUGACGGUACUCAACAAGGAAGUGACGGCUAACUACGUGCCAGCAGCCGCGGUAAAACGUAGGUCACAAGCGUUGUCCGGAAUUACUGGGUGUAAGGGGAGCGCAGGCGGGAAGACAAGUUGGAAGUGAAAUCCAUGGGCUCAACCCAUGAACUGCUUUCAAAACUGUUUUUCUUGAGUAGUGCAGAUGUAGGCGGAAUUCCCGGUGUAGCGGUGGAAUGCGUAGAUAUCGGGAGGAACACCAGUGGCGAAGGCGGCCUACUGGGCACCAACUGACGCUGAGGCUCGAAAGUGUGGGUAGCAAACAGGAUUAGAUACCCUGGUAGUCCACACCGUAAACGAUGAUUACUAGGUGUUGGAGGAUUGACCCCUUCAGUGCCGCAGUUAACACAAUAAGUAAUCCACCUGGGGAGUACGACCGCAAGGUUGAAACUCAAAGGAAUUGACGGGGGCCCGCACAAGCAGUGGAGUAUGUGGUUUAAUUCGACGCAACGCGAAGA